rnacentral:rRNA from 1 species
AUGGUUAAGUCUGUUCAUUGGCUCUGGCUUUUGAGGUUGAAGUGGCACCUCCACCCACCUCCCGGUGGCGGGAUUGCACACAACAAAAUGGUAAUCAUGCCUGCUGCUGUUGUAAUGGCAGUAGAGAAGGAGGCCAUUGCAAGCAUCCACCUAGGUGAUGCCCUCAUCCUUGUUAGGAUACAGGUAAGGGAGGGAAGGGUCAAAGGAGGCUGUGCCGCCGGAGAAACCGGUGCAGUGGUGGCGAUACCCGUUCCUGCAGAAGGACGUGUAGAGGAAGCCAGCAAGGGUCUGGGGCAGCUUCUUGUGGUUGGUGGGGUCGGCGAUGAGGUCGUGCCAGAGCACUGA